UACAGAGGUCCCGAGCGUUGUUCGGAUUCACUGGGCGUAAAGGGUGCGUAGGUGGCCUAAAAAGUUUGAUGUGAAAGCUCAGGGCUUAACCCUGAAGUGGCAUUGAAUACUGUUGGGCUGGAGGUUUGGAGGGGGGACUGGAGUUCUUGGUGUAGCAGUGAAAUGCGUAGAUAUCAAGAGGAACACCAGUGGCGAAGGCGAGUCCCUGGACAACACCUGACACUGAGGCACGAAAGCUAGGGGAGCAAACAG
rnacentral:rRNA from 1 species